rnacentral:misc_RNA from 1 species
ACGAUCGGCUGGAUCUUCGGAUCUCCCCGAUAUGAACCUUCCCGUGCUUUUUAGAACAUAGAUGGCACCAGUCAGGUGACCAUCGAAACGUAAUACGCCGCGAUGACUUCGGUCACGACGGUAUGGCGAGCUUUCGCCGUCCACGUUUCUCUUUCUUCAAGAAGACAAAACCGCGUCAUCCAGUUUAGGCUGGGCCGGUUCCCCGAAUGGGCCCGUAGCUCAGUUGGUUAGAGCACACGCUUGAUAAGCGUGGGGUCGGAAGUUCAAGUCUUCCCGGGCCCACCAUUUGCACCAGCAAAUGAAAUUUGCUGUAGCGAAUGAGGGUUAGGGAUGAUGGAAUGUGGCUGAUGCGGAUUGUUGCCGAACCUUGGGGGCUUGUCCUUGGGUGAUCGAGCUGGAGGGGCUGUAGCUCAGCUGGGAGAGCACCUGCUUUGCAAGCAGGGGGUCAGCGGUUCGAUCCCGCUCAGCUCCACCAAAUCGAUUGGUGUUGAAGCUGACGGUAACGAAGCGAAAGCUUCGCAAGCGCAAGGCGCGUCGCCAAUCGUUUGGCGCCCCCGCGGAGCGCCUUCGGCGCGUGAGCGACAAAUUUGUCUUUUGAAGAAAUAAAAGUUUUGCAUCGGCUUAUGGGUGAUGCGUGUUCUGCAUACAUUGUGAAGAGAAGAUUGAUCUGGAGGCUUCCAGGUGUUUUGGGUUCUGCCCAAGGCGUCCGACCCCAGUUCUGAUGAUCCUAUGGAUGGCCUAGCCGGCCGGAUAUGGGUGAAGGACUGGAGGGUGGAAGGAAGCUUGUCACUCUGGAUUGUUCGUUGUUCGUUGCCUUUGGGCUUCGUCUGAUGAACGAUCGGAUUACCGUUGCCUGACCGCGCGGUAUCGGAUCAUAUCUCGAGAAGCUGGUCUUAAGACAGGCUGCAAGCGAGCUGCUCGGCGUAGCUCCAAUAAAGCAGACCUGUCGAACACGUUAAUGGCAUUGUUGGAUUGACUGGGUUGUAAAAGGUAACCCGGUCUGUUGCCGUUCCUUCGGAACGGGCAACGAGACGAUGAGCAUUGGCAAUGAGAACGAUUAAGUGUCGUAAGGGCAUUUGGUGGAUGCCUUGGCAUGCACAGGCGAUGAAGGACGUGAUACGCUGCGAAAAGCCGUGGGGAGC